UGUAUUUCCAUGCUUGACGCUGGCGGCAGGCCUAACACAUGCAAGUCGAGCGGAUGAGUGGAGCUUGCUCCAUGAUUCAGCGGCGGACGGGUGAGUAAUGCCUAGGAAUCUGCCUGGUAGUGGGGGACAACGUUUCGAAAGGAACGCUAAUACCGCAUACGUCCUACGGGAGAAAGUGGGGGAUCUUCGGACCUCACGCUAUCAGAUGAGCCUAGGUCGGAUUAGCUAGUUGGUGAGGUAAAGGCUCACCAAGGCGACGAUCCGUAACUGGUCUGAGAGGAUGAUCAGUCACACUGGAACUGAGACACGGUCCAGACUCCUACGGGAGGCAGCAGUGGGGAAUAUUGGACAAUGGGCGAAAGCCUGAUCCAGCCAUGCCGCGUGUGUGAAGAAGGUCUUCGGAUUGUAAAGCACUUUAAGUUGGGAGGAAGGGCAGUAAGUUAAUACCUUGCUGUUUUGACGUUACCGACAGAAUAAGCACCGGCUAACUUCGUGCCAGCCCGCCGCGGUA
rnacentral:rRNA from 1 species